AGGUGGCUGGAGCGCGACAGCAGAGGGAGCCUUUCCACUUGCCAGCUCUGGUUCAUUCAGCCAUCUGCCAGCUGAAAGCCAGGGCUGGGGCAGGCUGCACCACGGACGACCUUCUGACACCUCUUCCUUGUGUCCUUCUCAAGGUGGCCCCCAAACAGAGCGCUGAGGACCACCCAGAGGGCAGCAGUGUCUCUGAGUAAGUACGGGGGACGUCCCAGCCACCCUGGCAGCCUCCCGGUCCCCUCCCUGCCCUCACCAUCCACCCAGAAACCCUGUGCAGUGGCUCAUCGGUGAAGGAGGCCCAGUCCUGGCCUUCAGGAGUUACAGCCCAGAGGGGUGACAGGUUGUGAAGAUUCUGGCUCAUCAGCUAUUUUUAUUACCAACUUCAAAUGGUUUCGGGGCCAGAACCUUGCUGGUUUUCCCACAUUCAGCAAACAUUUGCAGAGGCCCCUCCCGGAAGAGCUGGAUCCCUGCAGGUGGGCUCAGGGGAGGUCUGAGAGGGGACAGGAGCAGCCCCAGGGCUCGUGGAGGGGUUGGUGUUUAAAACGGCUGGGAGUUCCCGUUGUGGCUCAGUGAUAAUGAACCUGACUAGUAUCCAUGAGGACGCAGGUUCGAUCCCUGGCCCUGCUGUUCCUGUCCCUGUGGUUAAGGAUCCGGCAUUGCUGUGAGCUGUAUAGGUCACAGAUGCAGCUUAAAUCCCGUGUUGCUGUGGCUGUGGUGUAGACCAGCAGCUACAGCUCUGAUUCCACCCCUAGCUGAGAAUGUCCAUAUUUUGCCCUAAAAAGCAAAACUAAAUAAAUAAUACAUUAAUUUAAUUUGAUGCUGGAAGGACAGCGAGUUUCACUGAGGAGAGAGGGAGGAGGGCGCGUUCCAGGUGGAGGGACUCGCAGCAGCAAGACACCAGGUGUGACCAGGGCGCCGCGCAGGCCGGUGGCACUUAGCACAGGGUCUGUGGGAGGAGGGCGGCCUUGAAGGCCAAGCUGAAGCCGGGGCCACAGCUGCCAAGUAGGAGGAUGCGGGGACGGGCUCUGGGCUCCGCCGUGGCCUGGGAGGUGAGGCGGCGAGCACGUGCACCGGGCCCUGCCUCUCGCCAAGGCCGGAGCAUCCCUCAGCAGCGUGGACCAUCCGGUUCCCCGUCACAGCCCCUGCUCCUGGCAACCGCGCAGGCUCCGCCGAGCACGGCCUCCGCACCCCUGGGCGCUCCUGUGCUCAGUCUGGGGAACCUACUAGUGAGCCAGGCCCUGGGCGGGGAACCCCAUUUUCCUGAUGUGCAAACCGAGAUCCGAGGCGUGACCUGCCCCCGGUCAGAGGGCUGGUAAAUUCUAGACCCAAGAGACUCAGGCCUCAUCUACCAUGUGGUCUGUGGUCCAAUUAUAAUCGAUAUAUGCUGUGAUCUUUUUUUUUUUUCCAAGGUUGCACCUGCGGCAUAUGGAAUUUCUAGGCUAAGGGGUCGAGUUGGAGCUGCAGCUGCCAGCCUAUGCCACAGCUCAUGGCAAUGCCAGAUCUCCAACCCACUGAGGGAGGCCAGAGAUGGAACCUGCCUCCUUAGGGUACUAGUCAGGUUCAUAACCCACCAAACCACAUGGGAACUCCCUAUACCUCCAUUGUAGAGAAAACAGAAUUGUGGCUGAGCUGGAAUUCAAACUGGGUGUUUCUACUGCCAGGACCCUGCCCUCCAGCUGUGCGGGCACCACCUUCCUCAGGGACAAGGUCUGGAAAAGGGCAGGGCCUGCUGGCGGAAGAGACACAGGAGGUGUCCAGGGCAGAGGUUUUCGGUGUUGGUUUUAGGAUGGAUCCGAAGUCCCUACAGGGACCACUGUGGUUGUCCAGAGGGGAUGUGGAGUUUGACGGUAACAUCUUGCCUCUCAUGACUGUGUUUCUUACCCACAGAGCCCCAGGCAGCUGCUACGAGAGGCCCGAGAGGCCAUCCACCAUCACCUACGACUACUCCGAGGAAGAGCUGAUGGCCAGCAUUGAGCAGGAGUACUGCUGCUGAGGCCGGUGCUGCAGCAGCCCCGCUGUCACCCAGCGGCCAGUUUGCUGCUCCUCCCAGACCUGGCCCCACCUGCCCUGCCCAAGGCUCUAGGUGGAGCUGAGCCCCCUCCAACACGCAGUUACUCCUGGAUCUGUCACAGCUGACCCUUUCAAGUCCACAUUCAGAUGGGCCUGAAUCGGGGUGGCUGCUGCCCAUUGUGCUUAUUGGCAAGAGGAGGUCAGCUCUGUGGACACGGGCCAGAAGGAGGGUGCAGGUGCUGCCCCACAGGCGCAGGGCCAGGUGACCUGCCACAUACCUGCCCCUCCCCUCAGUCUCUGGGGAGAGUGGGCUACAAGAUGCUCCUGGAUCUUGAAAUGCUUCUCCUUUCUGAUGGCCCACGGGCCACCUGCUCAGGAGGCCCUUGAGCUGAAUGAAAGUCUUGGGGCCUCUAACACCCCUGCCGCAGCGCCUCAGGGACGUUCCCCGCAGCAGGUGCACCCAGCUGGAGGGAGCUGGAGGGAGCCACCCUCCAUGCCGCAAAGGAAUCGCUGAAGAUGCUACUGAAAUGAAAACAUUCAGAUUCUGUGUGUCUGGGGGCCUGGGAGUCUGCAUUUCUCACCAGCUCCCGGGUGAGACCCAGGCUGCCAGAUCCCAGCCACCCUUGGAGCAGCGAGGAUUGAGUCUGAGCUUUAGGCUCCAGGUAAUGCUUCCCUGGAGCUGGAGGCUGCUCAGAGCCACAGCCCAGCUGCCUCCACAAAGAGAGGCCUGUGCUGUGGCCAGUGUGGAGGGACAGGAGCUGGAAACCCCCCGUCUGAUCCUUGCUCUGUCACUAACUUGCAGUCACCUUCCCUCUCUGACUCAGCUUCCCUUUCUAGAAAGGGAGCCCCGGAGGCUCUUCGGGUGUUGUCUCCCCACCCCCCCAUCUAGGACGACACACUCCCAGGCUUCCCUGGUCUCUGGGCACAGGACCGCCUUCCUGCCCAGGUGGAGCCCAGCACCCCUUGGACAGGCUCUUCAGGGCCGCCUGCUCUUCCCACCCAGGAAGAAAGUAGGAAUCUCACAGCCGCAAGGCCAGAAGAGCCUCAGAACCUUCCCAGCCGCCAAAGGAGAAAGCCAGCCAAGGAUGCCCUGUGAACGAGGCAGGGCCCGGAGAAGUGCAGCCUGGCCGGAAGGCUGCGUUCAGCAGGCUCGGAGUGUCAGAGCGGCCGGGAAGCAGCUCCUCUGGGGCAGCUGGCUGCGGUGUCGGUACAGAAAGCCUCGUGGAAGGCAUGGCCGCGUCCCAGCCAGAACAGGUCUCAGCUUGUCUGGUGUUAACCACUCACACAGCCGCCUCUGGGGCAUCGCCCACCAGCGAAGGGGCAAGAUGGUCUCAGAAACCGAGGAACGACCUCUUGGCCCUGUCCCCAGACCCAUGGGCCUGUUGCUAAAAGGGGCAAAGAGGUGUUUCCACGAACCUUUAAGACUUGGCAACUGUGCCUUUGAUCAGAUGGUCCAGGAGUGGGAGAUUUUAACCUGCAAGUCAGAAGAUGGAGCGCUGGAGCCUCCCACUAAAUGCCCCUGAGGGUUGGCUCAGAAUGUCCCCAAAGCAAGAGCUAUUUCUCAUCCAAGCCCAGACCUUUCAUUUUGAUAUGGAGAUUAAAGCCAAUACUAUUUCGAGAACACAAAUACUUCUUUUAAAAGAAGUUAUGACUUUCUCACCACUGGAUGGAUCAGACCUUGAAUUUAAUGAUGUGAAAUUGGAAACCUCAUCCAACCCUUAAUGAGAUAAAAGCACGAAGAACAAAAAAAGCUUCCUGAAGUUACAUUUUAUGUCACUGUCAAGGCGAAUGCACUUCAUCAGAGCUAAGAAGUCACAGCGGUUGUUCUCAGAUCUUUUUAUUUUUAUUUUUUGAUUCCCUGAAUUCAGGAACAGCGUCUUCUGAACAGCGGCUUGCCAAAAAAGCAGCGUGUCCCAGCCCGUGAUGCGGAGAUGGGCGAUGGACAGAGGACGCUUGGUGGUGGCAGGGGUGCUGGUCCUGGUGGCGACUGCUUGUUGCACUCAAUGGGCACACAGUGCCUCCUGGGUGCUGAGCACUGCUUCAGGCCUUCUCUUGGGUGCUGGGUGCUGCUUCUGAGCCCCCGCUUCUGCUUAGGAGCUGAGUGUGGCAUCUGCUCAGGGAGAAUGUGGCUGAAAUAAAGGCGGGAAAAGACCCUUCCAUGUUGAAAGUAACAAUGGGAGUUCCCCCUGUGGCUCAGCAGGUUAACAACCGACAUAGUGUCCCUGAGAACACGGGUCCCAUCUCUGUCCUUGCUCAGUGGGUUAAGGAUCUGGCCAUGCUAUAGGCUGCAGUCCAGGUCACAGACUCUGCUAGGAUCUGAUGUCGCUGUGCCUGUGGUGUAGGCUGGCAGCUGCAGCUUGGGUUAGAUCCCUAGUCUAGGAAGUUCCAUAUGCCGCAGGUGUGGCUAUAAAAAGAGAAAAAAAAGUGACAAUGACAGGUUGAAAGUCUCAGUGCUACAGAUGUGUCUCUUGAUUUCUGUGGUGGCAAUUCCCUCUGAGAUGCUACAAAGCCCGGGAGUUAAGAAAACAUGCUUGGAGUUCCCAUUGUGGCGAAGCGGAAAUGAAUCCCACUAGGACCCAGGAGGUUGCAGGUUCCAUCCCUGGCCUUGCUCAGUGGGUUAAGGAUCUGGCAUUACCGUGAGCUGUGGUGUAGGUUGCAGACGUGGCUCGGAUCCCCCCCUUGCUGUGGCUGUGGUGUAGGCCGGUGUCUACAGCUCCGAUUCGACCCUUAGCCUGGGAACCUCCAUAUGCAGCCCUAAAAAGAUAAAAGACAAAAAAAAAAAGAAAAGAAAAGAAAAA
rnacentral:lncRNA from 1 species